UACGUAGGGUGCAGGCGUUAAUCGGAAUUACUGGGCGUAAAGCGCGCGUAGGCGGCUCUUCAAGUCGAGUGUGAAAGCUCCAGGCUUAACCUGGGAAUUGCGCUCGAUACUGUUGAGCUAGAGUGUGGAAGGGGCUACUGGAAUUCCGUGUGUAGCGGUGAAAUGCGUAGAUAUCGGAAGGAACACCAGUGGCGAAAGCGGCUUCCUGGUCCAGCACCGACGUUCAGGCACGAAAGCGUGGGGAGC
rnacentral:rRNA from 1 species